rnacentral:tRNA from 1 species
AAGUUUUUUGUUGGGCGGGAAGAGUUUUGAAAACUUUUUUGAAGUGUUCGAUUCACUUAUAACUUU